GGAGAAGUACUCAAGAGGCUGAAGAGGACGGUUUGCUAAACCGUUAGGCUGGGUGUACCGGUGCGUGGGUUCGAAUCCCACCUUCUCCGCCA
rnacentral:tRNA from 1 species